rnacentral:rRNA from 1 species
UACGUAGGGGGCAAGCGUUGUCCGGAUUCAUUGGGCGUAAAGAGCGUGUAGGCGGCUUGGAAGGUCAGCUGUGAAAACUCGAGGCUCAACCUCGAGACGUCGGUUGAAACCACCUGGCUAGAGUCCGGAAGAGGAGAGUGGAAUUCCCGGUGUAGCGGUGAAAUGCGUAGAUAUGAUAUAGAACACCGAUUGCGAAGGCAGCUCACUAAGCUGUAACUGACACUGAGGCACGAAAGCGUGGGUAGCGAACAGG